CACUGUUUGGACGAGGGGCCCCUCUCGGGUUACCGAAUUCAGACAAACUCCGAAUGCCAAUUAAUUUAACUUGGGAGUCAGAACAUGGGUGAUAAGGUCCGUGUUCGAAAGGGAAACAGCCCAGACCACCAGCUAAGGUCCCAAAAUAUAUGUUAAGUGGAAAAGGAUGUGGCGUUGCCCAGACAACUAGGAUGUUGGCUUAGAAGCAGCCAUCAUUUAAAGAGUGCGUAAUAGCUCACUAGUCGAGUGACACUGCGCCGAAAAUGUACCGGGGCUAAACAUAUUACCGAAGCUGUGGAUUGUCCUUUGGACAAUGGUAGGAGAGCGUUCUAAGGGCGUUGAAGCAUGAUCGUAAGGACAUGUGGAGCGCUUAGAAGUGAGAAUGCCGGUGUGAGUAGCGAAAGACGGGUGAGAAUCCCGUCCACCGAUUGACUAAGGUUUCCAGAGGAAGGCUCGUCCGCUCUGGGUUAGUCGGGUCCUAAGCUGAGGCCGACAGGCGUAGGCGAUGGAUAACAGGUUGAUAUUCCUGUACCACCUAUAAUCGUUUUAAUCGAUGGGGGGACGCAGUAGGAUAGGCGAAGCGUGCGAUUGGAUUGCACGUCUAAGCAGUAAGGCUGAGUAUUAGGCAAAUCCGGUACUCGUUAAGGCUGAGCUGUGAUGGGGAGAAGACAUUG
rnacentral:rRNA from 1 species